rnacentral:rRNA from 1 species
GACGAACGCUGGCGGCGUGCUUAACACAUGCAAGUCGAACGGAGCGAAUGAAAGCUUGCUUUUAUAAGCUUAGUGGCAAACGGGUGAUAACACGUAGACAACCUGCCGACAGGAUGGGGACAACAUUCCGAAAGGAAUGCUAAUACCGAAUGAAGUGCAGGGGAGGCAUCUCCCCUGCAUGAAAGAUGGCCUCUGAAUAUGCUAUCACCUGUUGAUGGGUCUGCGUCUGUUUAGCUGGUAGGUGAGGUAACGGCUCACCUAGGCGACGAUCAGUAGCCGGUCUGAGAGGAUGAACGGCCACAUUGGGACUGAGACACGGCCCAGACUCCUACGGGAGGCAGCAGUGGGGAAUCUUCCGCAAUGGGCGCAAGCCUGACGGAGCAACGCCGCGUGAGUGAAGAAGGUCUUCGGAUCGUAAAGCUCUGUUGAUGGGGACGAACGUGCCUAAUUGCGAAAUAGUUUAAGGCAAAG